rnacentral:rRNA from 1 species
UACGGAGGGAGCUAGCGUUGUUCGGAAUUACUGGGCGUAAAGCGCGCGUAGGCGGCCUUGCAAGUUAGAGGUGAAAGCCCCGGAGCUCAACUCCGGAACUGCCUUUAAAACUGCAUAGCUUGAAUCCGGGAGAGGUGAGUGGAAUUCCGAGUGUAGAGGUGAAAUUCGUAGAUAUUCGGAAGAACACCAGUGGCGAAGGCGGCUCACUGGACCGGUAUUGACGCUGAGGUGCGAAAGCGUGGGGAGCAAACAGG